AAGUGGAUACUUCAUCUUUCAAAAGGCUAAUUACAAUGUUGACUAUACAAUGUACUGUCUGGGUUCUAUUUCACUGUUGAUCUCUGCAGGAAGAACAGGCUGCAGAUAAGCUAGUCACAAAUGUCAGAUUUUGAUUUACCUAUGUAUGGACAAGUCAAUUAGUGAGUGGCAAUAAGUCAUCAGAUGCAAUUGCAGGGAAUAUGCAGUCUGGCCUUCCCUUUCUCAAGAGGCUCUUAUCUUCUCAUCUAUUGCAGCUAUAACUUGAAACUUGGCUGUAGUUGCCAUCUGGCAUAUAAGCAUGGAUCUGGGCCUAAAUGCAAAACAAUAAAGAUGGAUGAAAGAC